rnacentral:rRNA from 1 species
GAUGAACGCUGGCGGCGUGCCUAAUACAUGCAAGUCGAGCGAACGGACGAGAAGCUUGCUUUUCUGAUGUUAGCGGCGGACGGGUGAGUAACACGUGGAUAACCUACCUAUAAGACUGGGAUAACUUCGGGAAACCGGAGCUAAUACCGGAUAAUAUUUUGAACCGCAUGGUUCAAAAGUGAAAGACGGUCUUGAUGUCACUUAUAGAUGGAUCCGCGCUGCAUUAGCUAGUUGGUAAGGUAACGGCUUACCAAGGCAACGAUGCAUAGCCGACCUGAGAGGGUGAUCGGCCACACUGAAACUGAGACACGGUCCAGACUCCUACGGGAGGCAGCAGUAGGGAAUCUUCCGCAAUGGGCGAAAGCCUGACGGAGCAACGCCGCGUGAGUGAUGAAGGUCUUCGUAUCGUAAAACUCUGUUAUUAGGGAAGAACAUAUGUGUAAGUAACUGUGCACAUCUUGACGGUACCUAAUCAGAAAGCCACGGCUAACUACGUG